UGGAGCCCAGUCCUCCUCAGCACAGCUUCCACUGAAGCUGCUGAUCAAGGGAAGCACUGGCCAUCUGUGAUGCUAAGCUUGGUUUGACUUAAAGACAGUCCCAGUGACAUCAUGGCUGAAAACCAUGUAAAAUAUGGGACAGGCUUAAUUGACAAUGAUUUUCACACAGGCACAGUGAGGCAUGAAGAAAUAACAUGGCAAGAACCGCACAGUUUUCCAGUAUGCUUGGAAAGAGAAGAGAAGAGAAGAGAAGAGAAGAGAAGAGAAGAGAAGAGAAGAGAAGAGAAGAGAAGAGAAGAGAAGAGAAGAGAAGAGAAGAGGAG
rnacentral:lncRNA from 1 species